rnacentral:rRNA from 1 species
GACGGAGGGUGCUAGCGUUGUUCGGAAUCACUGGGCGUAAAGGGCGCGUAGGCGGCCUUGGCAGUCGGCUCGUGAAAGCCCGGGGCUCAACCCCGGAGGUGCGGCCGAAACACCAAGGCUGGAGGCCGGAAGAGGAGGGUGGAAUACCCAGUGUAGAGGUGAAAUUCGUAGAUAUUGGGUGGAACACCGGUGGCGAAAGCGGCUCUCUGGUCCGGACCUGACGCUGAGGCGCGAAAGCGUGGGGAGCAAACAGG